AUUGAACGCUGGCGGCAGGCCUAACACAUGCAAGUCGAACGAGUGGCGGACGGGUGAGUAAUGUCUGGGAAACUGCCCGAUGGAGGGGGAUAACUACUGGAAACGGUAGCUAAUACCGCAUACCAUCGGAUGUGCCCAGAUGGGAUUAGCUAGGAGGUGGGGUAACGGCUCACCUAGGCGACGAUCCCUAGCUGGUCUGAGAGGAUGACCAGCCACACGGGACCUGAGAUACGGUCCAGACUCCUACGUGAGGCAGCAGGGGGUAAUAUGGCACAAUGGGCGCAAGCCUGAUGCAUCCAGGCCGGUUGUAUGAAGAAGGCUUUCGGGUUGUAAAGUACUUUCAGCGAGGAGGCUUUCCUCGCAGAAGAAGCACCGGCUAACUCCGUUCCAGCAGCCGCGGUAAUAC
rnacentral:rRNA from 1 species